CUCGAUCCCAGGACCCUGGGAUCAUGACCUGAGCUGAAGGCAGAGGCUUAACCCACUGAGCCACCCAGGCGCCCCGUAAGUGUGAUUUUUAAACAUAGGGGUUUGUCUCUUGGCUUU